GACGAACGCUGGCGGCGUGCUUAACACAUGCAAGUCGAACGGAAAGGCCCUGCUUUUGUGGGGUGCUCGAGUGGCGAACGGGUGAGUAACACGUGAGUAACCUGCCCUUGACUUUGGGAUAACUUCAGGAAACUGGGGCUAAUACCGGAUAGGAGCUCCUGCUGCAUGGUGGGGGUUGGAAAGUUUCGGCGGUUGGGGAUGGACUCGCGGCUUAUCAGCUUGUUGGUGGGGUAGUGGCUUACCAAGGCUUUGACGGGUAGCCGGCAUGAGAGGGUGACCGGCGAAAUUGGGACUGAGAGACGGACCAGACUCCUACGGGAGGCAGCAGUGGGGAAUAUUGCACAAUGGGCGGAAGCCUGAUGCAGCAACGCAGCGUGCGGGAUGACGGCCUUCGGGUUGUAAAACGAUUUCGCCUGUGACGAAGCGUGAGUGACGGUAAUGGGUAAAGAAGCACCGGCUAACUACGUG
rnacentral:rRNA from 1 species